rnacentral:rRNA from 1 species
UCCGUAGGCGGUGCGGCAAGUCGGAAGUGAAAUCUCAGGGCUUAACCCUGAGGCUGCUUCCGAAACUGCCGUGCUGGAGUGCAAGAGAGGCGAGUGGAAUUGCAGGUGUAGCGGUGAAAUGCGUAGAUAUCUGCAGGAACAUCCGAGGCGAAAGCGGCUCGUUGGAUCGCAACUGACGCUGAGGGACGAAAGCUAGGGGAGCAAACAGGAUUAGAUACCCUGGUAGUCCUAGCCCUAAACGAUCAGGACUGGGCGUGGGCCUCGUACGGGGCUCGUGCCGCAGCUAACGCGUUAAGUCCUGCGCCUGGGGAGUACGGUCGCAAGGCUGAA